AUACAAGCAGAAAUCCAUUGCUGGAAUAUUCGAGCAUAUUUGUUCCGAAUGCUCCCUCCCACAACGUUAGUAUGAGAGCAUUUAUUAACAUUCAAGGUGAAAGAACAAGGAAGUGUGUGCGUGCUAGCUUAUUAUUGUAGGUGAUCUCUCCGCGUAAUAGCGAUUACUAUCUGCCAUGUUAAUAAGCUCAAGGAUUCUAGUUCAAUCAUUAGAUUGUUUCAGACCGACCAGAAGUGCCACUUGUGUUGUGGUCCGCCACAGAGUCCGCUAUCGAAAUGGAAUGGUGCCCAAAGUCACAGAGAAGCAUAAGCGGCCUCAAUUAGACCAUAAAUUAUUUUAAUAAACCUACAAAACACCAUAAAAAA